AUACCUACCUGGCAGGGAAGACACCAUGAUUACGAAGCUUGUUUUCCAAGGCUUAUCCAUUGCACUCAGAUUAUGCUGACCCCUACGAUUUACCCAAAUAUGGAAAACUCUACUGCAUAAUUUGUGAGAGUGGGGGACUGUGUUCAACCUCCCCCCUG